GCCUGGUUGGCUCAAUUGGUUAAGCAUCUGCCUUUGGCUCAGAUCAUGAUCCCAGGAUCCUGGGAUCGAGCCCUACACCAGGCU
rnacentral:tRNA from 1 species